rnacentral:rRNA from 1 species
AUUGAACGCUGGCGGCAGGCCUAACACAUGCAAGUCGAACGAGUGGCGGACGGGUGAGUAAUGUCUGGGAAACUGCCCGAUGGAGGGGGAUAACUACUGGAAACGGUAGCUAAUACCGCAUACCAUCGGAUGUGCCCAGAUGGGAGUAGCUAGUAGGUGGGGUAACGGCUAACCUAGGCGACGAUCCCUAGCUGGUCUGAGAGGAUGACCAGCCACACUGGAACUGAGACACGGUCCAGACUCCGACGGGAGGCAGAAGUGGGGAAUAGUGAACAAUGGGCGCAAGCCGGAUGCAGCCAUGCCGCGUGUAUGAAGAAGGCCUUCGGGUUGUAAAGUACUUUCAGCGAGGAGGCGUUACUCGCAGAAGAAGCACCGGCUAACUCCGUGCCAGCAGCCGCGGUAAUUC